rnacentral:snoRNA from 1 species
AACCCAUGGUGAGGGCACCUUUUUAAUAAAUCCUUAUAUCUCUCUCAUGCAUCAUAUAGGGUUUCCAAAUCCAUCUGUACGAAGUAAGAGAUAUCAUUCCUCAGCUU